CCUACGGGAGGCAGCAGUGAGGCAUAUUGGUCAAUGGGCGUAAGCCUUCACCAGCCAAGUCGCGUGAGGGCUGCAGGUUCUAUGGAUCGUAAACCUCUUUUAUAAGGGAAUCAAGUGCGUGACGUUUCCCUUUUUUUAUGUACCUUGUGAAUAAGGAUCGGCUAACUCCGUGCCAGCAUCCGCGGUAAUACGGAGGAUCCGAGCGUUAUCCGGAUUUAUUGGGUUUAAAGGGUGCGUAGGCGGCCUUUUAAGUCAGCGGUGAAAGUCUGUGUCUCAACCAUUGAAUUGCCGUUGAAACUGGGAGGCUUGAGUAUGUUUGAGGAAGGCGGAAUGCGUGGUGUAGCGGUGAAAUGCUUAGAUAUCACGCAGAACCCCGAUUGCGAAGGCAGCCUGCCAAGCCAUGACUGACGCUGAUGCACGAAAGCGUGGGGAUCAAACAGGAUUAGAUACCCCUGUAGUC
rnacentral:rRNA from 1 species